AAUAUAUAUAUAUAUAUAUAUAUAUAUAUAAAAUGCAUUUUCACUUAUGAUAUUUCUGACUUGCCGUGGGUUUAUCCCAGGAUGUAACUACAUGGUAAGUAAGGGAGCAUCUGUAUGCAUUUUAAACUAGAAUCCCACAUUGAAUUUAUUGCAUUCUGUAUGCCAAAUUCUCUUAGAUAUUUCAAGUACUUUGGCACAUAUACAAACAUAAUUCCCAAGCACCACACAAAAAUAUUAGGAUGAUGGGUCCAAUUGACUUCAGCAUAUCUGUACUUAGUUCUACAAUUGUAGAAUUAUUUCUCAGGAAUAAAAGACCCUUCUCCACUAAGGAAACUCUACUGCCUCAGGAAAUUUGGGGUGCAUGUCAAUUGUCUGAGGUUAUUAACCAACGAUUUGGGCGAGGUGGUAAAAUGUGGAGCUUGUAGGAGGCAUUCCUUAUUCCUGAAGGAAAGGUUGUCUUUUACAGAAAACACAAUUUAUGGUGACUUUGGUUUUAAAAUUAGUAUCUGAUUAAAGUUACAAAUUACAAAACCUUAAGUUAAAAAAUUCAACUUAAAAAUCGUAUUACUUUACUAUAUUCUAUAAAUAUGCAAAUCUACUUAUUACUCUAUAGCAAAAUAUAUAAUCACUUUUAGGCUUUUGAUUAAUGUUUAGUCCCAUUUGCAAACUUAAUUAAAUUUCCUUAAACACUCUAAAUCCCAUUUAUAAAUGUAAUAUAUUAAUUUAUGACAUACUAUGCUAAUUUGUAACAUUAAAAACAAUAUAUUUAAAUUUCAUUUAUGCAUUUUUUUGUCAUUUGAUGAAACCUACCUAUGUGCUUAUAUAACUUGUAAAUUUAAAAAAUGUAUAUAAUGGAUGAGAAAUUAUCUUAAUCAUCUCAAUAUUUUCAUAUUCAACCAAAUUCUCCUACCUUCUGACUUAAAAUCACAAGUCUAAAAUCAAAUACUAUCUUUGGGAGGCCAAGGCAGGAGGAUCAUUUGAGCCCAGGAGUUUGAGACCAGCCUGGGCAACACAGUAAGACCCCAUCUUUACAAAAAAAAAUAGAAAAAAUUAGCUGGAUAUGGUGGUAUGAGCCUGUAAGUCUUAGCUACUUGGAAGGCUGAGGUGGAAGGACUAUUUGAGCCAGGAGAUUCUUGUGCUUCAGCCACCUGAGGAGCUGGGAGUAUAGGCAGGAGCCACUGCACCUGGCCUAAUUUUUGUAUUUUUAGUAGAGAUGGGGUUUUACCAUGUUGGCCAGACUGGUCCCAAACUCCUGACCUCAAGCGAUCCUCCCACCUAGGCCUCCCAAAGUGCUAGGAUUACAGGUGUGAGCCAUAGCACCCCACCCAUUUUCACUUUUCUUACUUCAUUUCUUAUGCAAGAAAUUUUCUGAAAGCCUCAAGUUUUCUACAUCAGCUUCAAAAAUAUAAGGAGGGCCAACUAGGAAUAGGACAAGGUAGAAUAAUCACUUGUGUGCUGAUAAAUAUUUAACAACCAGUUCUCUGGAGCCCUGAUUUGUAGUGUUUGCCAGUUUCUGUGUAAAUACUCCCACCAUGGCCAAUUUCAAACUACCAACCGUUUAACUGGCUCACAAUAUUCCUAAAACUUGAAUAGUUGGCUCUUAUGAGCUGGUAGGAGUUGGCUUCAGCACACUGCUGGUUCUACAUGCGUCUUUGUUUCUUGUUUUGCAUAAAUAACAAGUUUUGUCUUCCCAAAAAUGUAAUAAGCUCCCUAAGGGAUGGAAUUAUGUUCUGGAUCUCCUGUGGGCCCAUGGUUUCUAAAAUAGUUAUAGACACAAAAGAUUUAACCAAGAGAGUCUGUUUCCUGUGGACAUACUGCGUUCUUGGGCUUGCACAGCCGACAACAGGGAGGCUGCCCCAGGGGUGGGCAUGGUGUGGGUUGCUGCCUCCUUUCACCAGCCUCACUCUCAUUGCCCAGGCUGGAGUACAGUGGUGCAAUCUCUGCUCACUGCAGCCUCUGCCUCCCCAGCUCAAGUGAUUCUCCCACUUCAACCUCCCAAAUAGCUGGGACUAUAGGCAAGUGGCACCACACCUGGCUAAUUUUUGUAUUUUUAGUAGAGAUGGGUUUCGCCACGUUGGCCAGGCUGGUCUUGAACUCCUGGCCUCAAGUGAUCUGCCUGCCUUGGCCUCCCAAAGUGCUUGGGACCACAGGCAAGUGCCACCACACCUGGCCCCAUUGGAGUUUUUGAUGUAGGAGAUCAGAUGUCCUGGAUUACAAGGCCACACACAUCUCCAGGCUGUACAUGAGAGGAGGAUGUCCAGAAAUCCUCCAGAUCUCAUGCAUGCACCAUUGUAUUUUCUCACUGUUAAAGUCAUGAUAAAACUGUGGUGUUUUUUUCUUCAUACAUGAUUUAAUAUAUCUCUAGGAAUUCUGGAAUAAGAAAAUAUAUAACCGCACAGCAAUAUUCUUUGAAACAAAAUUUCUAGAGAAUUUAUAAAAAUUUGCUUGGAUCUUGAUUUACAAUUGAAAUACAAGAAAGGCUAGUGUACAAAUUAGGCAAGUUUCUGUGCUGUACAUCCAGCUACUGGUACCACAAAUAGAGGAUAUGUUGUGACUUUUUGAGUUGAGGAGGACUUUUAUGAUCAUGUACACUCUACUGUCCUUUAAGAGGCAUUCAUUCAUUCAUUCUUCGUUUAUUAAUUCAGUAAACAUUUACUGGCUAUUUACUACAUUCCAGGUACUGUGGGGAUAUUGAUUGUAAUGACAUGAUCCUUUAUUGUCAAUAUGCUUACAGUCCACUAGGGGGAGCCAAAUAUAUAAAUAAGCUUAAGAAUUACGUUGAAGGGGCCAGAAUAGAAGUCUGUGGAAGGUGUGGGAUGGGAUGACAGCAUCAGAAAGAAUUGGGCAAAUCUGUCCCAGGACUAGGUCAGAAAAACGCCUCCCUAGGGAAGGUGCCACCCCAAACACGUGUUUCUGAGACCCCUUACCCGAAAUAAGGAGGCUGCCAAGGUGAGCAUGGAACGGUUAGGCGUUUUGUAUGGAGCAAACUGGGGGGACCCCAGCUGAGACCUCUGGCCUGGGCCUUGUGAUUCACGCAUAGGCUCAUCUUAUCGGCCACCGGGUCUGAGAAGAAACUACCACCCUGCAAGUUAACAGGGAUCCCUCCGAGAACGGGCACCUCAAAGCCUGAGCCACGUGAGAGCAAUGUCUGAGCAACACGGUUUUUAAAAAUGAUCUCUUCUCCUUUAUUGCCACAUUCACAUAAAACGUUUUGAUAUAUUUGGGUUGGUAAA
rnacentral:lncRNA from 10 species